rnacentral:rRNA from 1 species
AUUGAACGCUGGCGGCAUGCCUUACACAUGCAAGUCGAACGGUAACGGGCCUUCGGGUGCCGACGAGUGGCGAACGGGUGAGUAAUACAUCGGAACGUGCCCGAUCGUGGGGGAUAACGAGGCGAAAGCUUUGCUAAUACCUCAUACGAUCUACGGAUGAAAGCCGGGGACCGCAAGGCCUUGCGCGGACGGAGCGGCCGAUGGCAGAUUAGGUAGUUGGUGGGAUAAAAGCUUACCAAGCCGACGAUCUGUAGCUGGUCUGAGAGGAUGAUCAGCCACACUGGGACUGAGACACGGCCCAGACUCCUACGGGAGGCAGCAGUGGGGAAUUUUGGACAAUGGGCGCAAGCCUGAUCCAGCCAUGCCGCGUGCAGGAUGAAGGCCUUCGGGUUGUAAACUGCUUUUGUACGGAACGAAAAGCCUUCUUUUAAUACAGGAGGGUCAUGACGGUACCGUAAGAAUAAGCACCGGCUAACUACGUG